AACAGAAUGAGACACAUGACUGUGGUACAGCAGUGCAACAGGAGUUCAAAGAAGGAAGGAGAGAAUUGGAGCACUUGCAAGAAACCUUCGUUGGCAAAAGAGAAGACUCGAUUUGGGCUUCUAAGUCCAGAAGUCCGGACCCUAUUUGUCAGUGGUCUCCCUCUGGAUAUCAAACCUCGGGAGCUCUAUCUGCUUUUCAGACCAUUUAAGGGCUACGAGGGUUCUCUUAUAAAGCUCACAUCUAAGCAGCCCGUAGGUUUUGUCAGUUUUGACAGUCGCUCAGAAGCAGAAGCUGCAAAGAAUGCUUUGAAUGGCAUCCGCUUCGAUCCUGAAAUUCCGCAAACACUACGACUAGAGUUUGCUAAGGCAAACACGAAGAUGGCCAAGAACAAACUAGUAGGGACUCCAAACCCCAGUACUCCUCUGCCCAACACUGUACCUCAGUUCAUUGCCAGAGAGCCAUAUGAGCUCACAGUGCCUGCACUUUACCCCAGUAGCCCUGAAGUGUGGGCCCCGUACCCUCUGUACCCAGCGGAGUUAGCGCCUGCUCUACCUCCUCCUGCUUUCACCUAUCCCGCUUCACUGCAUGCCCAGGUUCCCAGCCCCCCACCUGCCCCGGGGCUGUGUCCCAGUCCUGUCCUUUACCACCUGUCUCAGGAAGGCAGCUCCAACUCUGCCCUUUGCUUAGUGAGCAAGUGGAUUCAGAUGCACAAAGCCAUAAGCCAUGGAUGCGCUGGCUCCCUCCCUCCGAGGCUACUUCUCAGGGCUGGAAGUCCCGUCAGUUCUGCUGAAUACUAUGUUCCAGGUGUGUGAUGGUGGCUGCGAUCUGUCUUGUGGGUGUUAAUGCCAUCUUCGGCGGUGGCGACCUUACUCGAGCUGUUCCACGAAACUGGAGCGUGCCGGGACUGAAAUAGCCACAUUCUGACCUUCUGUUCAGUCUGGGAACAUCUAUGGCAAUGUGGACGCAUUCUUUUCCCAUGUGAGAAUUACAUCUACACGGCACAGUUAUGGAAAAGCUCGGGAAACUAUCAGCUCUCCUCCCCUCUCUUCCCUCCUCCCUUCCAUGGGUUUUCACCUCAAAGCCUUUCUAAUCAGCCAAAAUUACCCAGCCCCACACACCUUGCUUCCUGUGCAGGAGGAAGGGGACAGAGUGAUGGGAGGUCAGGGUGGGCUGCUUAUUGUCCGGGGAAGCCAGAAGCACCCUCCCACCCCCUCCGCCCCCCAAACUGCUUCCUGGGGCAGCCCCCCGUCAGGGCCAGAGCUGCCCCAUGCAGGUGCUGAGGGUGCUUCUCAGAGGGGGGUGAGAUCAAGUCUUAGGGUCACAUGCCAUUUAUUACCCAUCGUUCUUGUCUCCUUUGCUGCCCCAGAGUGCAAGUGUCAGAAGUUUUGCUACACACAGGUAACGAUGUCUGGGGUGGAGAAACGAGGACAUAGUCUUAGGGAGGAAAAUUAUCCUUCAGGAGGCUAAACCAAUGGCCUGGACAGGGA